UACAGAGGGGGCAAGCGUUGUUCGGAAUUACUGGGCGUAAAGGGCGCGUAGGCGGCCUUCUAAGUCAGACGUGAAAUCCCUCGGCUCAACCGGGGAACUGCGUCUGAGACUGAAAGGCUUGAAUCCGGGAGAGGAAUGCGGAAUUCCAGGUGUAGCGGUGAAAUGCGUAGAUAUCUGGAGGAACACCGGUGGCGAAGGCGGCAUUCUGGACCGGCAUUGACGCUGAGGCGCGAAAGCCAGGCGAGCAAACGGG
rnacentral:rRNA from 1 species